GAGUUUGAUUCUGGCUCAGGAUGAACGCUAGCGGGAGGCCUAAUACAUGCAAGUCGAGCGGUAACUCUGGGCAACUGGAGCUAGAGCGGCGUACGGGUGCGUAACACGUAUGCAACCUGCCCAUAUCUGGGGCAUAGCCCUCCGAAAGGAGGAUUAAUACCCCAUAACACUAUAAGUAGGCAUCUACUAGUAGUUAAAGCUCCGGCGGAUAUGGAUGGGCAUGCGUCCCAUUAGCUUGUUGGUGAGGUAACGGCUCACCAAGGCUACGAUGGGUAACUGGUCUGAG
rnacentral:rRNA from 1 species